AACCGAUAAAUUCGAGUUAAUCUAAUUUUCUGAAUACAAAGAAAAAGACUUUUGAAAUUUUUCAUAACGAACAGGAAAGAUUAUCAUAUAGACAUGAUAGGUACCAAAGAAUUAUCAACAACUUUAAGAUGAAGAAGACAAUGCUCCGUACACUUGUGUUUGUCAUAUGCACAGUUUUGACAAGUACAGUCAAUGGUUGUCCCCUUCAAUGUAGCUGCGAUGGCACGACGGUUAAUUGCAGGAAUAUAAAUAUAGCAACAGUGCCGUCUGAAAUUCCUAAUUCGACAACCAUUCUGUAUUUGAAUGUUAAUCAAAUAACUACAUUACAGCCAGGAGUAUUUCGAGACCUACAAACGCUGACUACUCUG